UAUAUAUUUUUUUUUUUUUUUUUUUAUUCCAUUUUUAUUACAUUUUACCUCCCCUUUUAAGCUUUACAGAUUUUGCUGUGAUAAACAAAUUGAACCUUCGAAGAUCGAAAUAAUAUACUUAAGAUAUAAAGUUAUAAAAACGGUAAAAAUUUUUAUAAAAUAUAACAUACUGUAUGGUAAUGAAGACAACAAGUUGCUUUGUUUAUCUGUUGCAAUUGAUUUAUUAAAAGAAAAAUGUCAUGGAAUGAGUUUGUAUUUUUUACAAAAUGACAUCAAUAUGAGCAACUGGAGUUUUCUAGAACAAUUUAUGUUUCAAAAUAAAUUAAAUUUUGAGUUUUACAUGUUUAUUAAUAGUUUUUUAAAAAUAAACAGCUCUAAAGAUAUUAAAGAAAAAAUGAAAAAAAAAUAUGAACAAGAAAUAUAUCAAAUAAAAGAAAUAACAGGCUAUAAUAAUGAUCGUGUAAUUUUUAAAACUUUACGAAAAAAUAAUUUUGAUGUAUCUAAUACUGUGGACACAAUUUUAAAUAUGAGUAACAGCAAACUUCAUAGUAGUAUAGAAGAUGAAAAUAAUACGUUUGUUUUUUCUUCACAUAGUUUGGGUAAUAUUUCCAGUGACACACAGGUACGGACUAGUGACGGUAGUGACGUAAAUGGUACUGAUAUUAGUAGAAGUUGUAGUUAUAGUGGGAGUGGAAGUGUGAAUGGAAGUGUAAAUGGAAGUGGAAGUAAUAUUAGUGACAAAUCUGAUGUUGAUUACCAAGAUUCUGCUUUUUCAGAAGCUAACAUAUCAUCAUCGUCAUUAUUGGUAACAGAAAAAGGAAAAAAGAAAAACAUUUUAGAAAUAUUAAGAGAACGAGAGAGAAAAAGUAAAACUCAAAAAAAAAGAAAAAAGAAAUAUGAGUAUACUACAGAUCGUGUAUUAAAUGAUGAAAAUAAAAACAAAAUUUUAAAUGAAAUUAAUUGUUCAAGCAAUUCAGGAGAAUUAUUAUCAGACAUAUCAAUAAAUAAAAAUGAUGAAAAUAUUAUUACUCCAACUUCAUAUAGACAAAAUUAUAUGUAUGAGGAUGAAGAUAGUUCCGAAAAUGAAAAUACACAAAAUCAUACAUACAAAGGACAAAACAAACAGAAUGAACAAAGUUGUAGAUAUAACAGAAAAACAAGCAAUUAUAAACCACACGUUUUUGCACAACAACAAAGGGUUAUUACAAGAGUUGACAUCGAACAUGAUCGAUCAAAUUAUAUUCGUAAUGAUGUACAAAAUUAUAUUCGUAAUGAUGUACAAAAUUAUAGUCGUAAUGGUGUACAAAAUUAUAGUCGUAAUGGUGUACAAAAUUACAAUCGUAACGGAGCACAAAAUUACAGUCGAAAUAAUGAAUCAAAUAGUAAACCAAGAGGAAAUGUAAUGUCUAAAGCAGAAGGAAAAGAAGAUACUACGAACAAAAACAGCCAUUCGACAAAAGGUAUAAUGAAUACACACACAAAAAAAAAAAAAAAUAUAUAUAUGCAUACU
rnacentral:lncRNA from 1 species